GAAAGGCGGGCUAAUACCGAAUGACAUCUUGAAAACUUAUGUUUUCAGGAUCAAAGGUGGCCUCUACAUGUAAGCUAUUGUUUGGGGAUGAGCCCGCGUACCAUUAGCUUGUUGGUAGGGUAAUGGCCUACCAAGGCUACGAUGGUUAGCUGGUCUGAGAGGAUGAUCAGCCACACUGGAACUGACACACGGUCCAGACUCCUACGGGAGGCAGCAGUGAGGAAUUUUGCGCAAUGGGGGAAACCCUGACGCAGCAACGCCGCGUGAGUGAUGAAGGCUUUCGGGUCGUAAAGCUCUGUCAAGUGGGAAGAACUCAUAUGGUGUUAAUACUGCCAUAUGUUGACGGUACCACUGAAGGAAGCACCGGCUAACUCCGUGCCAGCAGCCGCGGUAAUACGGGGGGUGCGAGCGUUAUUCGGAAUUACUGGGCGUAAAGAGCGCGUAGGCGGUCUUUUAAGUCAGGUGUGAAAGCCCGGGGCUCAACCCCGGAAGUGCACUUGAAACUAAGAGACUUGAGUAUGGGAGAGGGAAGUGGAAUUCCUGGUGUAGCGGUGAAAUGCGUAGAUAUCAGGAGGAACAUCGGU
rnacentral:rRNA from 1 species